CUCUUUUUUUUUCUUCUUCUUUCUCUCUCUCGCUCGACCGAAACCGAAAACAGAGCAAAGGCUCUUCGGUCUCUCUCUACCUCCACCGGCCACCAAACGGCGUCGAACCACUUCCUUUUGCUUCGUCUCAGCCUUGCGCAGCUGCCAGAGGCAGCCUUGCACCGUGACACGGCCACCAGCGGCGGCGGGAAGCUCCGCCCGGUUUGAGCUCGUUUUGGAAACAAGCUUGAUAUCUCAAGCUACCGGUCACCAAUCCUCACCAAAAUCCAUCCACAAGCUCGCCUCAACUUCCUGAAAACUCCCAGAAGCAGCCUCACACGGCGGCGUGGCCCGUAGCAGUGGCUGCAAGUCAAACCCAACCAAGAACGAGACCGGAGCUAUCGAUCAAGAUAUCUCGAGCUGUAGUGCAUCGUUUUGAUUGAUUCUUUUUCCAGUGGGUUCCCCUUGAUGUUAUUAACAACUCUCUAGAAGGCAUCGAGGCCUGAAAUUGAAGCUUUGACGUCGAAAUCGAGCCUUGCCGGAUUCUGCAAAAUUCUGGAAUUUUUCCGACCACCGAAGCUUUAGAUCGGUAUAUCUCGAGCUACAGACCAUAUUUUUCUGUGAUUCUUGAACCAGUGAGUUCUUCUUGAGUUUCUUAACAACUCUUCAGAAGAAAUCGAAGCCUUAAAUUGACGUUUUUACGUCGAAUUGGAGCUCGCCGUUUUCUGCAGUUUCUCGCCGGUUUCUGGAAAAUUCCGGCCACCUUCAUACUGUUCAAGGUGAUUGACGGUUUGAGUUGGCGGACGAUUGUGAAUCGUAUUUUGAGCUGUUAAGAAGACGCAGCGGGAUUAGAGCGGGUAAUCCUACAGGUCAGGAGAACCAGGACGGUGAUCGGGCUGCUUAGAGUAGUGUUAUGUGAAUUACAGCAUUAUAUUGUGAGGUUUGUUAUGCUCAUUUAGAGCUUUACGAUUUUACUUUGUAAGAGUGAAUUGUAAUAAUUAACUCGAGGUUUUUCGAGUUUUGUGUUGA